rfam:Brachypodium distachyon strain Bd21 chromosome 3, whole genome shotgun sequence.
AUUCUACUUCCUCCGUCCAACAAAAAAUGUCUCAAGUUUGUCAAAAUUUGGAUAUAUCUAGACAUGACUUAGUGUAUAGAUUCAUUCAUAUUUGAUCAAAGUUGAGACAUCCUUUGUUAGACAGAGGGAGUAUUAA